rnacentral:rRNA from 1 species
GCUACGGGGGCAGCAGUGGGGAAUAUUGGGCAAUGGGCGCAAGCCUGACCCAGCAACGCCGCGUGAAGGAAGAAGGCUUUCGGGUUGUAAACUUCUUUUCUCAGGGACGAAGAAAGUGACGGUACCUGAGGAAUAAGCCACGGCUAACGACGUGCCAGCAGCCGCGGUAAUACGUAGGUGGCAAGCGUUAUCCGGAUGUACUGGGUGCAAAGGGCGUGUAGGCGGGGAAGCAAGUCAGAUGUGAAAACCACGGGCUCAACCUGUGGCCUGCAUUUGAAACUGUUUUUCUUGAGUACUGGAGAGGCAGGCGGAAGUCCUAGUGUAGCGGUGAAAUGCGUAGAUAUUAGGAGGAACACCAGUGGCGAAGGCGGUCUGCUGGACAGCAACUGACGCUGAGGCGCGAAAGCGUGGGGAGCAAACAGGAUUAGAUACCCCAGUAGUC